GUUCUUUCAUAUGGAAAUUUUCAUUUAAGAAGAAUAAAAGCAAAGGUCAGAUUUCAGAGAUGAAGUGAAAAUGUGAAGUGUUUCAUCUCUGGAGAGGUAGUAUAGAAACAGAGUAGCAGUCGUGGGCAUUCCAAGAACUCAGUACCAGAGCAUGGAGGGAUGGUGUGGCAGGGACAGCUCAGACACCUGCCGGAGGCUGGGGCGGAACCGGUAGUCGCAGGGAAUUUUAUUGGACUAUGAAACAGGAAGAAGGAUGCUGAAGACCAAAUCAUGAAAAGCCAUGUUACGUUAAUUAAGGAGUUUGAUCCUGACAUCAUCAGAGACUAUCAAGACUGGGAGACAACUUUAGGGAGAUGUUGGUCACAGGAUAAAAUUAUAUGGAAAGAAUAUUUGCAUUUUGGGGCAGAGAACUCUGGGGUGUUGUUUCUCCUUUACUUUUACUUGAAAAAGUGACAAAUAUGCAUGCUAGAAAAUUCAGAACAUAUAAAAGAAUGUUACACAUAUUUCUUUCAAAUUUUAAGGGUGUGAUUUUGUAUUGGGUUGAAGAGUGACACCUCCCCCCCCCCCAAUUCAUGGCUAUCUGGAACCUCACAAUGUGAUUUUCCUUGGAAAUAAGGUCUUUGCAGAUGUACUUAAGGUCAUACUCGAUUAGAAUGGGCCCUAAAUCUAAUGACUAGUGUCCUUAGAGGCCUCAUAGUCAUAUGAUGUAGACAGAAUGAGGGAAUUAAGAUCACGUAGAGAAGGGAGCAGAAAAUGGAAUGAUGCAGCUAUAAGUCAAGGAAUGCUGGGAACUGCUAGAAGCUAAGAGGCAAGGAAGGUUUAUUCCAAAGAGCCUUCUGAAGAAGCUUGGACCUCCUAAUAAUAUGAUUUCAGACUUCCAGCCUCAAACUGUGAGAGAAUAAAUUUCUGUUGUGUCAGCCCCCCAGUUUGUUGUACUUUUUUUGUGGCAACCCCAGGAAACAUGUAAGGCUCAAAGUAGAAAGGUAAUAAAAUUGUAUUAGUCCAAGUUAAUUUAUGUGGAUCCACCAAGCAGA
rnacentral:lncRNA from 1 species